rnacentral:pre_miRNA from 13 species
CCGGCUCUCACCCAGUGGCAAAAUCUCGCUGGGGCCUCCAAGUGUUGUAACCAAGCGAGUUAUAGAGAAAUGCCACACUUUGAGACUAAUUCAGGAGUCCUUUAUUAG